rnacentral:rRNA from 1 species
CAGGACGAACGCUGGCGGCGUGCUUAACACAUGCAAGUCGAACGAUGAAGCCCAGCUUGCUGGGUGGAUUAGUGGCGAACGGGUGAGUAACACGUGAGCAACGUGCCCAUAACUCUGGGAUAACCUCCGGAAACGGUGGCUAAUACUGGAUAUCUAACAUGAUCGCAUGGUCUGUGUUUGGAAAGAUUUUUUGGUUAUGGAUCGGCUCACGGCCUAUCAGCUUGUUGGUGAGGUAAUGGCUCACCAAGGCGACGACGGGUAGCCGGCCUGAGAGGGUGACCGGCCACACUGGGACUGAGACACGGCCCAGACUCCUACGGGAGGCAGCAGUGGGGAAUAUUGCACAAUGGGCGAAAGCCUGAUGCAGCAACGCCGCGUGAGGGAUGACGGCCUUCGGGUUGUAAACCUCUUUUAGUAGGGAAGAAGCGAAAGUGACGGUACCUGCAGAAAAAGCACCGGCUAACUACGUGCCAGCAGCCGCGGUAAUACGUAGGGUGCAAGCGUUGUCCGGAAUUAUUGGGCGUAAAGAGCUCGUAGGCGGUUUGUCGCGUCUGCUGUGAAAUCCCGAGGCUCAACCUCGGGUCUGCAGUGGGUACGGGCAGACUAGAGUGUGGUAGGGGAGAUUGGAAUUCCUGGUGUAGCGGUGGAAUGCGCAGAUAUCAGGAGGAACACCGAUGGC